rnacentral:rRNA from 1 species
UACGGAGGGGGCUAGCGUUGUUCGGAAUUACUGGGCGUAAAGCGCGCGUAGGCGGCUUUGUAAGUUAGAGGUGAAAGCCCGGAGCUCAACUCCGGAAUUGCCUUUAAGACUGCAUCGCUAGAAUCAUGGAGAGGUGAGUGGAAUUCCGAGUGUAGAGGUGAAAUUCGUAGAUAUUCGGAAGAACACCAGUGGCGAAGGCGACUCACUGGACAUGUAUUGACGCUGAGGUGCGAAAGCGUGGGGAGCAACAGG